rnacentral:rRNA from 1 species
GGUUAAGCGACUAAGCGUACACGGUGGAUGCCCUGGCAGUCAGAGGCGAUGAAGGACGUGCUAAUCUGCGAUAAGCGUCGGUAAGGUGAUAUGAACCGUUAUAACCGGCGAUUUCCGAAUGGGGAAACCCAGUGUGAUUCGUCACACUAUCAUUAACUGAAUCCAUAGGUUAAUGAGGCGAACCGGGGGAACUGAAACAUCUAAGUACCCCGAGGAAAAGAAAUCAACCGAGAUUCCCCCAGUAGCGGCGAGCGAACGGGGAGCAGCCCAGAGCCUGAAUCAGUGUGUGUGUUAGUGGAAGCGUCUGGAAAGGCGUGCGAUACAGGGUGACAGCCCCGUACACAAAAAUGCACAUACUGUGAGCUCGAUGAGUAGGGCGGGACACGUGGUAUCCUGUCUGAAUAUGGGGGGACCAUCCUCCAAGGCUAAAUACUCCUGACUGACCGAUAGUGAACCAGUACCGUGAGGGAAAGGCGAAAAGAACCCCGGCGAGGGGAGUGAAAAAGAACCUGAAACCGUGUACGUACAAGCAGUGGGAGCACGCUUAGGCGUGUGACUGCGUACCUUUUGUAUAAUGGGUCAGCGACUUAUAUUCUGUAGCAAGGUUAACCGAAUAGGGGAGCCGAAGGGAAACCGAGUCUUAACUGGGCGUUAAGUUGCAGGGUAUAGACCCGAAACCCGGUGAUCUAGCCAUGGGCAGGUUGAAGGUUGGGUAACACUAACUGGAGGACCGAACCGACUAAUGUUGAAAAAUUAGCGGAUGACUUGUGGCUGGGGGUGAAAGGCCAAUCAAACCGGGAGAUAGCUGGUUCUCCCCGAAAGCUAUUUAGGUAGCGCCUCGUGAAUUCAUCUCCGGGGGUAGAGCACUGUUUCGGCAAGGGGGUCAUCCCGACUUACCAACCCGAUGCAAACUGCGAAUACCGGAGAAUGUUAUCACGGGAGACACACGGCGGGUGCUAACGUCCGUCGUGAAGAGGGAAACAACCCAGACCGCCAGCUAAGGUCCCAAAGUCAUGGUUAAGUGGGAAACGAUGUGGGAAGGCCCAGACAGCCAGGAUGUUGGCUUAGAAGCAGCCAUCAUUUAAAGAAAGCGUAAUAGCUCACUGGUCGAGUCGGCCUGCGCGGAAGAUGUAACGGGGCUAAACCAUGCACCGAAGCUGCGGCAGCGACGCUUAUGCGUUGUUGGGUAGGGGAGCGUUCUGUAAGCCUGUGAAGGUGUGCUGUGAGGUAUGCUGGAGGUAUCAGAAGUGCGAAUGCUGACAUAAGUAACGAUAAAGCGGGUGAAAAGCCCGCUCGCCGGAAGACCAAGGGUUCCUGUCCAACGUUAAUCGGGGCAGGGUGAGUCGACCCCUAAGGCGAGGCCGAAAGGCGUAGUCGAUGGGAAACAGGUUAAUAUUCCUGUACUUGGUGUUACUGCGAAGGGGGGACGGAGAAGGCUAUGUUGGCCGGGCGACGGUUGUCCCGGUUUAAGCGUGUAGGCUGGUUUUCCAGGCAAAUCCGGAAAAUCAAGGCCGAGGCGUGAUGACGAGGCACUACGGUGCUGAAGCAACAAAUGCCCUGCUUCCAGGAAAAGCCUCUAAGCAUCAGGUAACAUCAAAUCGUACCCCAAACCGACACAGGUGGUCAGGUAGAGAAUACCAAGGCGCUUGAGAGAACUCGGGUGAAGGAACUAGGCAAAAUGGUGCCGUAACUUCGGGAGAAGGCACGCUGAUACGUAGGUGAAGCGACUUGCUCGUGGAGCUGAAAUCAGUCGAAGAUACCAGCUGGCUGCAACUGUUUAUUAAAAACACAGCACUGUGCAAACACGAAAGUGGACGUAUACGGUGUGACGCCUGCCCGGUGCCGGAAGGUUAAUUGAUGGGGUUAGCGCAAGCGAAGCUCUUGAUCGAAGCCCCGGUAAACGGCGGCCGUAACUAUAACGGUCCUAAGGUAGCGAAAUUCCUUGUCGGGUAAGUUCCGACCUGCACGAAUGGCGUAAUGAUGGCCAGGCUGUCUCCACCCGAGACUCAGUGAAAUUGAACUCGCUGUGAAGAUGCAGUGUACCCGCGGCAAGACGGAAAGACCCCGUGAACCUUUACUAUAGCUUGACACUGAACAUUGAGCCUUGAUGUGUAGGAUAGGUGGGAGGCUUUGAAGUGUGGACGCCAGUCUGCAUGGAGCCGACCUUGAAAUACCACCCUUUAAUGUUUGAUGUUCUAACGUGGACCCGUGAUCCGGGUUGCGGACAGUGUCUGGUGGGUAGUUUGACUGGGGCGGUCUCCUCCUAAAGAGUAACGGAGGAGCACGAAGGUUGGCUAAUCCUGGUCGGACAUCAGGAGGUUAGUGCAAUGGCAUAAGCCAGCUUGACUGCGAGCGUGACGGCGCGAGCAGGUGCGAAAGCAGGUCAUAGUGAUCCGGUGGUUCUGAAUGGAAGGGCCAUCGCUCAACGGAUAAAAGGUACUCCGGGGAUAACAGGCUGAUACCGCCCAAGAGUUCAUAUCGACGGCGGUGUUUGGCACCUCGAUGUCGGCUCAUCACAUCCUGGGGCUGAAGUAGGUCCCAAGGGUAUGGCUGUUCGCCAUUUAAAGUGGUACGCGAGCUGGGUUUAGAACGUCGUGAGACAGUUCGGUCCCUAUCUGCCGUGGGCGCUGGAGAACUGAGGGGGGCUGCUCCUAGUACGAGAGGACCGGAGUGGACGCAUCACUGGUGUUCGGGUUGUCAUGCCAAUGGCACUGCCCGGUAGCUAAAUGCGGAAGAGAUAAGUGCUGAAAGCAUCUAAGCACGAAACUUGCCCCGAGAUGAGUUCUCCCUGACCCUUUAAGGGUCCUGA